rnacentral:rRNA from 1 species
GACGAACGCUGGCGGCAUGCUUAACACAUGCAAGUCGAACAGUAGGGCCCCUUCGGGGGUACACGAGUGCGGAACGGGGGAGUAACACGUGAGCAACCCGCCCUUGACGCGGGGGUAACAGUUGGGAAAAGGUCCUAAUACUGGAAAAUCAUCUGCUCCUUCCUGUGGGGGGUUGUAAGGCCCCGGCGGUCAGGGUUGGCCUCGCGGCCUAUCAGCUUGUUGGUGAGGUAAUGGCUCACAAAGGCUUCGACGGGUAGCCGGCCUGAGAGGGGGACCGGCCACAAUAGUACUGCGAUACGGACCAGAGUCCUACGGUAGGCAGCAGUGGGGAGUAUUACACAGUGAGGGCAAGUCUGAUGAAGCAGCCUCGCGUGCGGGAUGCCGGCCUUCGGGGUGUAAACCGCUUUAAGUAGGGACGAAGCGUGAUUGACGGUACCUACAGAAGAAGCACCGGCUAACUACGUG